rnacentral:miRNA from 1 species
UUCUUGUCCCUGUUCAGGCGCCAUUAUGUUUUUUUCGCCGGGCUGGCUUCACGGGCAGGAGACAGAGACAACCAGA